UACAGAGGGUGCGAACGUUGCUCGGAAUUACUGGGCGUAAAGCGCGUGUAGGCGGGGUUGCAAGUCAGCUGUGAAAUCCCUGGGCUCAACCCAGGAACUGCACUCGAAACUACUUGUCUUGAGUGCCGGAGAGGAAAGCGGAAUUCCUGGUGUAGAGGUGAAAUUCGUAGAUAUCAGGAGGAACACCGGUGGCGAAGGCGGCUUUCUGGACGGUAACUGACGCUGAGACGCGAAAGCGUGGGGAGCAAACAGG
rnacentral:rRNA from 1 species